UUUUUUUUUUUUUUCCUUAUUGUAUCAUUUGAAUUUCCCUGACGGCCCAAGCCGGCGGCCGAAAGCACUCCAGGCAUUAAAUUCGGAGUGGCUUUAAUACGGGGGACGUUGGGAAAGGCGGUCCGGCUGUGAUGUGCUGUCCUCUCCCUGCGCCGCCGCCAUCUAAGAACCGGCCUUGGGCCUGGAAGGUCCAGAGGCUGUGCGGGCAUCUCCCUUUGUGUGGGAAUGUUUUCCUCUGCUCUGGGCUUGGUUGUACAUCCUCGGCUCAAGCCGGUCUGUCGCGCAGCACAUGGCCAACCCCAGUGUUAGAGCCGUUUCCACGGGGAGGGCCCCGGGUCCCUCCCCUGCAGCAUGAGAGGGGUGCUUGCAGACUGGCCCCCUGCCCCGGCUGGUGGAGCGAGACCCACCUGACCCGUGAGUCGUGUCUGUCUUGGCGACCUGACACCUGCUAGCCCUGGGUCAGCUGGCCUCGUGGUCCACCCCCAAGCAAUGAGCCCCUCCCCCGAGGGUGACAACAGGUGCUGCUUGCCGGAGAGGUACUGGUUACAGGGGUGGUGGAAGAGCUGGGGGUCUGUCGGGGGCAUCCGAGAAGUUGGCAGAUGGGAGGCGGAUCUCUCCUUAGGGCCAGAGGGACCAGUGCAGAUGUGGGACGAUAGGACCUCAGGACCAGGGUCGCUGGCGGGGCCGCCGGGAGGAGACACAGCUCCUGGGCAGAGGAAGAGGGAGGCGCUCACGGGCACCCAACCCUCCCGUUUCCCCAUCACUGCCUCCCCACGGCCUGCAAGCAGAAGCCCAGUGACAUGGAAGCCCAGGAAACAGACUGCAGGGCUCAGACCCUCAGGACUCAGGCGCAGAAGGCAAGGAACAGGUCUGGGUGAAAACAAGCCCGAGACUGACCAGGUCAGACGUACAUGCUCGGGACCAAACUCAGAAAGUACAAGGACAGGUGUUCCCAUUGCGGCUCAGCAGGUUAUGAACCCAGCUAAUAUCCAUGAGGGUGUGGGUUCGAUCCCUGGCCUCACUCAGUGUUAAGGAUCCAAUGUUGCCUGUGGGCUGUGGUGUAGGCCAUAGAGGUGGCUCGGACCCCAUGUUACUGUGGCUGUGGUGGAGGCCGGCAGCUGCAGCUUUGAUCCAACCCUUAGCCUGGGAAUUUUCAUAUGCUACAGUCGUGGCCCUAAAAAUCAAAAAAACAAACAAACAAAAAAAACCCCCAAAGGUCCAAGGAUCGUUUCCUCUGGCUGCUGUAACAAAUCACGCAAAGCUGGCGGGUUAACGGAGCACACGGUGACCCUCGGAGGUCAGAGAGCCAGAAUCAGCCUCCCUGGCUGGAAUCAAGGAGUCCACAGUCAGGGCUGCCGCCUCCCCUCCCCCAGAGCCUCUGGAGGAGACGGUUUCCGUGCCUUCGCGCCUCCACUGCUGCCUCCCUCAGCUUUUGCAUCUUCUCCAUCUUCGGAGCCAGACGUGUGACAUCUUCCAGUCUCUGGUCUCUGCUGAGGUUCUUCCCUCACUUUCUCUUUUCCAUCUGGUCCAAGCUCCCUCGGCCUGCCUCUUAGAAGGAUGCUCGUGAUUAUAUUUAAGGCCCAUGCAGAGAAGGCAGGAUGGGGUGUCUUGGUGGCUCCGUGGGUUAGGGAUCCAGCAUUGCCACUGCCGUGACUCAGGUUUGAUCCCUGACCCCCAGAACUUCCGCAUGCCAUAGGCGUGGCCAAGGGAAAAGAAAAAAGAAAAAAAAGGCAAGGCUGGAUCAUCUUCCCAUCUCAAGAUCCUUAACCGCAGGAGCCCAAUCGCCUUUGCUGUGUGCGGUGAUAGUCGCAGGACGCAGGGAUGGAGAGCAGGAUGUCUUUGGGAGCCAUUAGCCAGAGCUGUACCGCCUCUGUAAUAGUUACCUACUGCCGCGUAACAAAUUACACCCAAACUCACCAGGUCAAGAUAACAGAUACUGUUAUCUCACACGAUUCCUGUGGGUCAGAUAUUCUGCACUAGCUUAGCUGGGUGGCUGUGAAGCUGUGGUCAAGCCGUCAGCUGGGACUGCGGUCAUCGGAAGGCUUGACCGGCUGGAGAGUCCACUCCAGGGUGGCUCCCCAAUGUGGCUGUGGACCGGAGGCAUGGGUCCCCCCAAGACAGGCCUCUGCAUGAGGCUGCUUGUGCGUCCUUCCAGUAUGGUGGCAGGCUGGCUUCCCCAGAGCGAGUGUUCCGAGGGAGGGCUGACACCGAGAAGCCUUCAUGGCCUAGCCUGUGUGUGUUGGCUGGGGUUGCCAUGACAAAGAACACAGACGGGGCGGCAUAAACCACAGGAAUAUCUUUUUUCACCAUUCUGGAGGCUUGACGUCUGAGGCCAAGGUGUUAGCAGGCUUACUUCCUCUUGAGGCCUCUCUCCCUGGCUGGCUGGCGCUGCCUUCUCCCUGCGUCCACACGUGGGCUUCCUUCUGCGUGUGUCUGUGUCUGGAUGUCCUCGUCGUCUCAGUUGACCAUGACCAGGGGCUGAACCCGCACCACGGCAGUGACAACACCAGGUCCUUAACUGCCAGGCCGCAGGGAACGCCUCAGCUUUUCGCUGCUUCUAAGGACACCAGUCCUGUUGGAGCAGGGCCCACACCCAUGGCCUCGUAGGACCUCAACUGCCACUUCAAGGCCCUUUCUCCAAACACAGUCGCAUGCCGAGGCCCUGGGGACCGGGACAUCAACAUGUGACUUUGAGAAGAGAUACAGUUCAGCCCGUGGCAUAGCCUCAGGGGUGAUACCUGUCUGCUGUGCCUGCCUGGUCACAGACGGUCCCACUGCAGCGAGGGAGGUGGGAA
rnacentral:lncRNA from 1 species